GGAGGGAUGGCCGAGCGGUCGAAGGCGACGGUCUUGAAAACCGUUAGGCGUCAGCCUCAAGAGUUCGAAUCUCUUUCCCUCCG
rnacentral:tRNA from 1 species